rnacentral:rRNA from 1 species
UACGUAGGGUGCGAGCGUUGUCCGGAAUUAUUGGGCGUAAAGAGCUCGUAGGCGGUCCGUCGCGUCGAAUGUGAAAACCCGGGGCUCAACUCCGGGCUUGCAUUCGAUACGGGCGGACUAGAGUUCGGUAGGGGAGACUGGAAUUCCUGGUGUAGCGGUGAAGUGCGCAGAUAUCAGGAGGAACACCGGUGGCGAAGGCGGGUCUCUGGGCCGAUACUGACGCUGAGGAGCGAAAGCGUGGGGAGCAAACAGG